rnacentral:lncRNA from 1 species
UUUUCAGAGACAUGUCCAGUCUCUCUGUGAGUUUCUUUGGAUCUCAUCUCUGGCAUUUUCCUGCUAAAAUCCAACCUUUCUACCCUUGCCUGACUGACUCUACUCUAAGGCUUUUGAUCUAGAAGAAUAGGUAUCUGAGGAUAGAGCAGUGAACCAAAGAGACAAAAGUCCCUGCCUCUAUGGAGCUACAUUCCAGUUGACUGCUAUAAUGAUGGCUCUCCAGAAUUGUUGUGGUCUGCUUUCAAGUUCUGAGCCUAGCUGCAUGCCAGAAUCACACCAUCUGAGGCUUAAUGAAUCAGCAUCUCCAAGCAUUUUGUAGAUUGGCAAAAGUGCCGCUAUCAAAGACAGGUAGAAUGACUCCUGUCUCUAGCUGCUUUCCUGGCACUUGAGCUAUGCAGUGAUAAUACAAGUUGGGAGGACUCAACAGAAGCCAGAUUUGGAAUCCAGUCACUCUUCACCAACUCCAGGGCUCCCCUCUUCUCAUCCUGGAUUGUGAGAGGCUUCUGGUUGGUUCCCCUCCAUGAUUCUCCCGAACCUGAGCCAUACACUAUUCUCACACAGCAAGCAGAUUGAUGUCAAAAAACUAAAUAAAGCAGAGCUUAGCAGCUUGGGAAUAAAAGCAGAGAAUUUAAAAGAUAAAAGUUUUGAAGAGUCAGCACAUCAGAGAGACAAUGAAGUGUGGUGGCAAGUACAAAUUUAAGUUCCCAAAGCUGCUAUGUGACAAGGGUGGCUUCCUGGAAGAAUGAUACUGGAGUUGAAUUUGAGAUGUUCCUUCUCUGUACCCCACAACACCCUGCACAGCUUCCCUCAUGCAUCGCUCCAUCAGUGUCUGCAUGAGUCAUGUCUUCCUUGGUGACCCUGCUUCCUGCAAACCCUGCAGCAGGUUGACAUUCUGGGACUGCUGCUCCUGGUGGUAAGCAUUGUUAAGCUUUCUGCUCUCCACCGUGCAUUGGGACUCCUCACCCGGAGGUGGUAACAGGAGUCACUUGUUUGACAGUGACCUUCGGCUCACAAAGUUGUUCAAAUGACCCUCUACAGUAGCAGAGAAAAUUGGACCCUCAGAUGGAUAGACAAUGAACUAAAUACUUCACACAGGACACCUGUCCCAGUUGUCCGGCAAGGCUCUUCAAGACUGCAGAGGAAUGACAGAAUACAGAGAUGCAAUCACCAGGAACAUUUGGGAGCACACUGCCAGCACAUUCACAGGUAUUCCCUCCUUGAAUAUGUUGAAUUCUCACAUUAUCCCAGGUGAGACAGACAUGGAGUUCGUUGACAGUGGAGCUGGAAUUCAGACUCAUGGCUUCCUGACUCUAUAGCCAGUGUUGGUUUUAUUGCCUUCUUGGGUUUAAGCCAGAAGAACUUGGGAAAACAGAAUCACAAUAUAUUAUGUUGAAAAUUGCCAUUCCUUUCUAAUGGAACAGAUGUCAUUCCCUGAUAACAUUUGCUGGUCCCCAAAUAUCCCAAGUUUCCCCCUCCCCGCCCCUGCUGGGAACUUCUUCCCUGCCACUGCGUUGAAAACCUGCUGUUUGAGACUGCCCCACUUGAUUCUGUCUCCUAUACCAAGAGAAGAUUCUUAAAAAUCUAAAUGAUAUAUAGAUACAUAUUGUUUCAGUGCAGGUAGGCGGAUGGAGGUCAGAUACAUGUUUUUGAAGACUGAACUCGCCAAAAAAACUUCAACUCCUUAUUGGGUGUGACUUCCAAAUAGAAACCAUUAUUGUCUUAUUUAUACUCAACACAACCACAAAACAUUUGUAAAGCAUAAUUGAUUGUAGAUGGCAAGAGAGGUCUCAGAGGCAGGUUCUCUGACCCUAUGAGCUCACGAUCUUUACAUCUGAAGAAAUAGGCUUCUAUGGGAGGUUUCUCAGUCUUCUCAACAAGGAUGUUGAGUCAUUGCAGUCACUGCAGAUGAUUGGACAUCAGAAACACCUCCUGAGUCAUCAUUUCCAUUGCUCAACAUUGACUGUUGUCAUCAAAACCAUCUACCCAUUUAGGCUUGCAAGUUGCCGAGUAGACAAUUCUCACUUUAUUCACUUUAUUCCCCAGUAUACUUUUCAAGGUAACAGAACUAGUAGAUAUGACUGGAUGAGAUGAAUCUUAUUUAUUGACAUGAAAGGUUGGCAGUCAGAGCUCUGGCACCCACCAAUACUGCCCCCAACUCCGUCCCAAGCAGCCUGCAGCACCAGCUUCUCACCCAGCUUCCCUUGCCUUUGGGGUCAGUCUGAGUUAGCUCCAGGGUCAGUAUUAACUCUGCAUGGUCCUAGGAUCUGCAACACACAGAGAGAACUUAUCCUGGGAUUGGGACCAAACUGGAAUGUGUCUUCUUUAAUCUCAGCUGGAGGCUUCAGGAUGUCACUUAAUUAACACCCAGGCUAGAAUUUUCACUCUGGAUUUGCAACCUUGGGCCAAUCUGAACUGGAACAAUUCCCCAGAAUCUAGAUGAGAAGGUUAUGACCCUGGCUCUGUUUAGAGCAUGUUCUGGUCCUGGGAUAGAGCCUGAGCCCCACUCCCUGCCUUUAUUCAGGCUGUUCCUUUCUCUGGGAAUUUCUCCCCACCUCCACACUCACUUGCCCUAUUUUAUUUUGUUUUAUUUUAUUUUUUGAAAUGGAGUCUCACUCUGUCACCAGGCUAGAGUGCAGUGGUGUGAUCUUGGCUCACUGCAACCUCCACCUCCUGGGUUCAAGCAAUUCUCAUGCCUCAGUCUCCAGAGUAACUAGGACUACAGAUGCGCACCACCAUGCCUGGCUGAUUUUUGUAUUUUCAGUAGAGAUGGGGUUUUACCAUGUUGUCCAGGCUGGUCUUGAACUCCUGACCUCAGGUGAUCCGUCUGCCUCAGCUUCCCAAAUUGCUGGGAUACAGGCGUGAGCCACCACACCUGGCCACUGCUGAAUUUUUUAUUUGAGACCUAUCUUUUAAGAUCCAUGUUUAAUUCUAUCUCUUAUCCAGAAUCCUUCCCUGUCCCUUAGUUGCAAAUGUAAGCUUAUUUCUUUUUUUGAAUGACAUCCCUACCUGCUUCUGUAUCUUUUAUGACCCUUUCCUAUUGUGUUAGUUGUGUAAGUGGCCACAAAUUUAACAACUUAAUGGAACACAUAUUUAUUAUUAUCUCACAGUUCUGUAGGUCAGAAGUCUGCCCACGGUGUGGCUCAUUUGGGUUCUCUGCUUACGGUCUCACUGGGUGAAAGCCAAGGUAUCUACCAGGGCUACCCUUUUCACCUGGGGCUUAAGUCCUCUUCCAAGCUCACUAGUUGUUGGAAGAAUUCAUUUCCUUCUCACAGUAUCUAUAUGUUUCCCUCCAUCUUCAAGCCAUCAGUGAUGUUGAGUCUCUGUUGAGCUUCAAAUCUCUGUGAGGUCUCCCUUCUGGUGCAUCUCUCUGCCUCCCUUUCUUUUCCAUUCUCAUCAGGGGAAAAGCCCUCCUUUUAAGGGCUCAUGUACUAACAUUGGUAUGGCCAGGGUAAUCCAAGAUAAUCUCCCAACGCUAAGGUCCCUGAUUAGUGACAUCAAUUACAAUGGCAAAGUCCCUUUUGCCAUGCAACAUCACAUACUCAUAGGCAUAGCCCCAGAGGGUGAAGGGCAUAGGAAGCACAAUUCUGCCUAUCACACCUAUCGAGCAGCCUCUGAUAUGGCACUACCUCAGAGAAGGUGGCAGUGAACUGCUAUGGAAACAUUGGAUUUCCCUGAUUGGCUGUCCUAGAAAAUGUCAUUUAAAUUCUAUAAGGGUGUCCCUCAGAGGUUCCCAAAUGUCUGAAUGUGAUCCCAGAAGAUUUUAGAACUUCUUAAGUAUGAACUAAAGGAAUCUUUACAAAAGCAAAUAAGGCCUAGACUUGAGUACAGUUCAGCUUCUUAGUAGGCACAAGCUUUCAGGUUUGGGGUCUUCUAAUCUCUCCCUCACCCAGAAUUAUAAAGAUCAUGCAGGGUCACAUAGAUGAAAGCAUCUGAAAACACUAAAAUGCCACACGAAUAUAGAAAGAGUUUCCUAUUGAUGCUGUAAGAAAUUACUAUGAAUUUAGUGGCUUAACACAACACAUGUUUAUUCUCAUACAGUUCUAAAGGUCAGCAGGCUGAAAUCAGUCUUACUGAGCUAAAAUCAAGGUCUCAGCAAAGAUGCAUUCCUUUCUGGAGGCUGGAGGGGAGACUGUUUCUUUGCAUUCAUCAGCAUCUAGAAGUUGCCCGCAUUCCUUGGAUCAUGACCCUCUUCCCUUUCCAAAGCCGGCAAUGAUGGCAAAGUCUUUCCCACAUUGCAACGCUCUGACACUCACUCUUCUUCUGCCUCCUGCUUCCUUAUAAGGAUGCUGGCGAUGACAUUGGGCCCACCCAGAGAGAUGAUCCAGGAUAAUCUCCUGAUUUUAAGGUCAGCUGAUUAGCAAACUUAAUUCCAUUAGUAAACAUAAUUCCCCUUUCCCAUAUAACAUAGUCAUGGGUUCUGGGGAUUAGGACAUGGACAUCUCUCAGGGGCCAUUACCUAUCUACCUACCAUGAUGAUUAUGAGAACAAAUCAGCACUCAUCUUCUUUAAGAUUGAUGUGCCUAUCUGGCUCGGUGUUAGGGCUGGGACUACUUCUACAAGGUUUUAGAAGCUACUGAUAGUAACUUUUUGCUUUCUGGCUCCACUCCCAAACCCCUCUCCUGUGGGCAGGCCAAAGUGACAGCUGCUUUGCAGGUCUUCCACCCUGGGUGUUGCCAGUUUGUUUUCUUGGGGAUAGCCCUGUCACUGGGCCUCCAAGUUUCUCCGUAGCUGCUGGAGUCAUGCAAAAUGGGUACUUACCCUGCAACCUCUUCUCUGGGAGUCAGCUUCAGACUAUUUCCUGCUAUCUUGACCUGAUUCUCUUCAUUUCUCCAUGUAGUUUGCAUACAUAACCAGUUAGCGUAAGUUCUAUUUAAUAUCCUUGCCAACUUAUAGAGUGUAAAUCUUUUGGCUUCAUUCACUCAUUCACUAAAACAUCUAUUGAGUGUCUACUAUGUGCCACACUAGCACCUACAGUCAACAGUCACCAGCAAGACUCUCAUUAGACUAUCUCUUAAAAUGCACAGUUGAUUCUCAUUAUGUGUGGUAGUUACAUUUUAUAAAGUUAUUGUGAACACGAAAUUAGCAAAUACUUAACCUUUGCUCCUAGGAAAAAUACAGGGUUAGGUUCCUGCAAGCCUCUGGUCAUAACUUUUUUGUCAACUGAUCAAUGUACAACCUUGUUUUAUGUGUGUUUCUGUUUAAAGAUAACUUAUGUAAUAUAUAUUGCUGAUUCAUUAAACUGAUAGCUAAUAACUAUAACUCAUGCCUGAAGAAACCUUAUCUAACACACGUAUUUUCUCUGUAAGCCUCAUCUCAGCCUUCUUGGACUAACAAAACUAGGCAGCCCUUUAGCACUAUACUUGGGAGCCAUUUUCAAAAGCAAAAUCACCACAAAAUGUCUAAAAAUGUGGAAAAGGUGGCACUUGAUAGACUACAAAAAAGUUUACAAUAUAUAAGACCUGAAACAAGAAGGUAGACCAUCACUUUGACCUAAGCUAAGAAUGUGCACUCCAAUUUUUCACCACUCUGUAUAUGUCCUCAAAAUUACGUAACAGCACCAAGCAUAUUGACUUAAGGAUUACAAACACAUUUUAGCAAUCAGGGAAAUUCAUGCAUGUGGAAUUCACAAAUAAUGAGGAUUGGCUGUAUUUUAUUAAAAAGAUGGACUUGAACAAAUCAAUUUAGAGGCAAUAUUGUUACAGGUCUCCCCCAAAUGUAAUACUUUA